AACGAACGCUGGCGGCAUGCCUAACACAUGCAAGUCGAACGAAGGCUUCGGCCUUAGUGGCGCACGGGUGCGUAACGCGUGGGAAUCUGCCCUUAGGUUCGGAAUAACGGUUAGAAAUGACUGCUAAUACCGGAUGAUGACGUAAGUCCAAAGAUUUAUCGCCUGAGGAUGAGCCCGCGUAGGAUUAGCUAGUUGGUGUGGUAAAGGCGCACCAAGGCGACGAUCCUUAGCUGGUCUGAGAGGAUGAUCAGCCACACUGGGACUGAGACACGGCCCAGACUCCUACGGGAGGCAGCAGUGGGGAAUAUUGGACAAUGGGCGCAAGCCUGAUCCAGCAAUGCCGCGUGAGUGAUGAAGGCCUUAGGGUUGUAAAGCUCUUUUACCCGUGAUGAUAAUGACAGUAGCGGGAGAAUAAGCCCCGGCUAACUCCGUG
rnacentral:rRNA from 1 species